GAUGAACGCUGGCGGCGUGCCUAAUACAUGCAAGUCGAGCGAACGGACCAGACGUUUGCUUCUCUGAUGUUAGCCGCGGGCGGGGGUGUCACACGUGUAUACCCUCCUUAUCAGACUGGGAUAAUUUCGGGAAUCCGGCUCUUAUACCGGAUAAUCUUUUGCUCCAUAUGGUUCAAAAGUGAAUUACGGCCUUUCGGUCACUACUCGCUGCUUCCGCGCUGCAUUAGCUGGUUGGUAAGGUAAAGGCCUACCAAGGCAACGAUGCAUGGCCGACCUGAGAGGGUGAUCGGCCACACUGGAACUGAGACACGGUCCAGACUCCUACGGGAGGCAGCAGUAGGGAAUCUGCCGCAAUGGGCGAAAGCCUGACGGAGCAACGCCGCGUGAGUGAUGAAGGUCUUCGGAUCGUAAAACUCUGUUAUUAGGGAAGAACAUAUGUGUAAGUAACUGUGCACAUCUUGACGGUACCUAAUCAGAAAGCCACGGCUAGCUACGUG
rnacentral:rRNA from 1 species